CCUACGGGAGGCAGCAGUGAGGAAUAUUUGUCAAUGGGCGCAAGCCUGAACCAGCCAAGUCGCGUGAAGGAUGACUGCCCUACGGGUUGUAAACUUCUUUUAUAAAGGAAUAAAGUGAGGCACGUGUGCCUUUUUGUAUGGACUUUAUGAAUAAGGAUCGGCUAACGCCGUGCCAGCAGCCGCGGUAAUACGGAGGAUCCGAGCGUUGUCCGGAAUUAUUGGGUGUAAAGGGAGCGUAGAUGGGUUGUUAAGUCAGUUGUGAAAGGCUGCGGCUCAACCGUAAAAUUGCAAUUGAUACUGGCAGUCUUGAGUACAGGUGAGGUAGGCGGAAUUCUUGGUGUAGCGGUGAAAUGCGUAGAUAUCACGAAGAACUCCGAUGGCGAAGGCAGCUUACUAAACUGUCACUGACACUGAUGCACGAAAGUGUGGGUAUCAAACAGGAUUAGAUACCCCUGUAGUC
rnacentral:rRNA from 1 species